rfam:Candidatus Schekmanbacteria bacterium RBG_13_48_7 RBG_13_scaffold_3177, whole genome shotgun sequence.
CGGGGCGUAGCGCAGCCUGGUAGCGCACUUGGAUGGGGGCCAAGUGGCCGCUGGUUCAAAUCCAGUCGCCCCGA